rnacentral:rRNA from 1 species
UUUAAAUUGAGAGUUUGAUCCUGGCUCAGGAUGAACGCUGGCGGCGUGCCUAAUACAUGCAAGUCGUACGCUAGCCGCUGAAUUGAUCCUUCGGGUGAAGUGAGGCAAUGACUAGAGUGGCGAACUGGUGAGUAACACGUAAGAAACCUGCCCUUUAGUGGGGGAUAACAUUUGGAAACAGAUGCUAAUACCGCGUAACAACAAAUCACACAUGUGAUCUGUUUGAAAGGUCCUUUUGGAUCGCUAGAGGAUGGUCUUGCGGCGUAUUAGCUUGUUGGUAGGGUAGAAGCCUACCAAAGCAAUGAUGCGUAGCCGAGUUGAGAGACUGGCCGGCCACAUUGGGACUGAGACACUGCCCAAACUCCUACGGGAGGCUGCAGUAGGGAAUUUUCCGCAAUGCACGAAAGUGUGACGGAGCGACGCCGCGUGUGUGAUGAAGGCUUUCGGGUCGUAAAGCACUGUUGUAAGGGAAGAAUAACUGAAUUCAGAGAAAGUUUUCAGCUUGACGGUACCUUACCAGA